AACUAAAUUAACACAAUUGCAUAGGUAUGGUAUCUACCCAAUUUACCGAACAUAUAUCACUACCCACCUCUUUUUCACUAAUCACCCCAAUAUUAUUUACAAAUAUUAUUACAGACCAAUUGAAUAAAUUACAUAACCAACUAAAAAAAAGUUUACUGUAGGGAGCCUGAAGCAGGCCCAAGUGACUUCCAUAUCCUCCAAUAACCUCAAAUGACAAAGUUCCCUAGACAAUUUCAUAUCUAGGUGUGUCAGAGUUUCCUAAGGACCUCAAGGAUCCUUGGCAGUGCUCGCACCAAGACCUUUUCUCAAACUAUAACUGAUUUAGGUGUAGUGUGGAAAGGCUAGCUCUAACAUGCCAGAGUUCAGAGAGAUCUCAAGGGUCUCAUGGCAGUACACAUAUCAGAGGGGCAGAACCCAAUAUCCUUGGAGUAAAGUGAGAGUGCUUGACAAAGUUGUGUUUUGAAAAUAGUAUAGAGAUGGCUUUAGAAAUAGAAAAGUUUUUUUAGAAACACGAAAUAACUUAGUGGUAAAAGAUAGUUUGAGAAGAGUACCAAAAAAACAGACAAUCAGUUGGUCAUAAGAGACAUCCAGAUUCAAAAAAGAAACACUUAACAAACAUAUCUCAUAUGGGAAUUGUGGCACAAAAGAAUCACAUUAGGUACAUGGAUAGGGAGAGAAGAAAUAUAUAGUCACAAGCUGCUUACAACACUUAGAAUCUUAGAGACUCAGUACAUAGUUAGGACAUAUAUAAUAGUUGGAAUGUCUUGAACAGUAUUAGAGUUUGGACAUGGUAGGUGAAGAGGUAAGCAAGAAAGAGGGCAUACAUUUAACAAGACAGAAUAUUAGACAUGCUAGGCAAAGAAGUAAGCAAAAAAGAGUGCAGAAUUAAAGAAUACAUUGAACAGGCAGAUUUUAGAUAUGUUGAGCAAAGAAGCAGGAAUGAAUACAAGUUGAACUCAUAAAUGAUGAACUAGUACAGGAAUGAAAACACAUAGGGUUUGAAUUUUAAAACUUAACUAGAGACAUACCAAAAAGGGUGUAGAAUAUAAAGAAAAUGAAGUUCCAGUAUCCAGCCUUGGCGUUCAGCCGGCUAGAUCAGCAAAGAUCACAAAUAGCAUAAGAGAAAGAGAACUUUUAAAGUGUAAGUGUGCUUUUUUGUGAACUGAUAUGCUGUCCAGAACAUAAAAGUAAGAUGAUUUUAUAUAGUAAUCAAAAUCUUCGCAAAUAAGGUAAGAGAUCAAUUAAGUAGUAAACCAGGGAAGUCACAUGUAAAUCAGCCAGUCUUUCCCUUAAUCAAGGGACAAUUAAACAAUGGUAAGUCAUGUUAAGUAUUUAAGGAAAAGAAUCAAGUAAGAUUUAGGUAUAGAAUAGGUAAUUAUAGGUAAAUGAAUAAAAGAUUUAAUUAAGGAAACAAAUCAGUAAGAAUUGGCCAAAUACAAAUAAGGCAAAGAAAAAAUGAUAAAGGCAAGCAAUUCGGUCAAAUACAGUAUGAAUCGAAAGUUUAAGGGAAAGUAUUCAAAUUAAACCAAGAAAUAAGGAAUUCAGAAUAUUCAAGACUUCAAUCAAAGAAAGAAUCGACAUGUUUAGCAUAUAAAAUAAGGUAAAACAUGAAUAGUCAGGAAUCGACAUACAACUUUAUCAAAACAAAAAGUUAAAUAACAUUGAUUCAAUGAGAAAGAUACAUGUCUUCAUAUGAAUAGUCAAGACGAACACAAGCACAUAGAUCGGUGAAAGGUCAAAUUAAGAAAUUCAGUAGAAGCAUAUUGGGGCAAGAAAGUCACGAGAAAUCACAAGAACCCAAAGCAAGAACCAGUUGAUAUACUAGUACUCAGAACCCAGACAAAGAACAACGAAAAUUAGGGCUUUCAGUAUAAAGGGGCUAAGGUUUUAGCAGACUUACAAAAUCAGUCAAAAUAUAUAAGAAGGAGAAGAUUAAACAUAAAAAUUUGUCAAACAAUUUGUAAAAGAGAUUCUGGAAACCCUAGUUUAAGAAAAAGGUAAAAAUCACUUGAAAUCAUACGAUUCUUAUAAAGAGUCUUAAGGUUAAUUGUAAAACUCACAUAAAACAAACCCAAAUCACCUCAGAUCUGUACAAAUCUAAGAUAUUUAGAAAAAGAAAUUAGGAUUUCGAAGAGAAUGGCAUAUAAAUAAAGAAACAUACUGAGAAACACAUAAAUCAUAGUCAAUAUAGGACGAUCAUAGUCGAAAUCACACUGUAAUGGCCUGAAACAGGCGAGGGAGGAACGAUAGAUGCAAGUCACUAGCCCUGGUCCCUUGAGGGCGAUGGGAUGGCAAGAUUAAUAUGAGGGAGGCCACAUGAGGGGUGGUGAGAGAUCGUCAGAGAUAGCCAUAGAUGAGUGACGAUUAGGUUGGAUUAAGGUUAGGCUUGAGAGAAUUUGAUAGAGGAGGAGGGUUUCCAGGACGGUGAAUGGGAGAGAAUGAGAGGGUUUGGG
rnacentral:lncRNA from 1 species